rnacentral:lncRNA from 1 species
UUAAGUUCUUGUGCUUACGGUACGUUUUUUGUGAAUAGCAUCAUUCAGGACUCUUUAAAGUUCUUUUUUAAAAAGAGUCACUUUACAACCUUGGUAUAAGCAGGUCCUUACUGAUUUUGGCAGGACUUGAUUUCCGAUAACCUGUAAAUUUGAUGGAAAAACCAAAUUGGGCAAACAGUGGGCUUUGACAGUCUGAGCAGAGUCUGAGACAGGGGGUGGUUGAGAGUCCCUCAUCGGUCUGAGGCCUAUAUCCCUACCUCCUACAGCUGAGUGUCCCUGAGGGCUGCUGUCUGGUGGGGGCAAUUCCCAGGGUUGUGUCUGCCACCUGCCAACUUGCCCAGCUUGCCAUACCUAGUGUUGACAUAGAGUCCCAAGGUGUGUGCUUUUUCCCUGUAAGAAACUCAGUUUAAGUUAGUUUGUGCUCAUAGCCAGGAAGUUCUUCAAAGACGUGCCUGAACUCGAGGGCUCCUAACGACUGUGUGUACCUCAAUGCCAGCCUCCAUUGGUUCCUUUUUUCCUCUCCCAGAUUUCGGUGUAGUGUUAGGAAAUUCCUGCAAGGCAGUUCUAAUGAAUAAGAGGUAUUGGAUACAUUUGGGAUUGUUUGUUUGUUUGCUUGUUUAACUCCAGGCCACAAAGGGAGGGCAUGGUCCACUCCUAGAACUCACCAUGACAGACUCUCUCAUUAGGGUUUUUGAGGUUGCAAACAGUGAGUUUGCUCCCAGGCUUUGCUCACUCAUGGCCUGUUGGCAGCCUCCUCAGGGCCACUCCCUGCCCCGUGCCCAUCAGAUUAGUUCACAGUAGCAAAGACGGUUGUCGCCCUAGUUUUAAACAUAGAGAUGGGGUUCAGGAGGAUAACAGCCCCCAUCCAACAGUAGGGUCUGUUCUGUGUCGAAGGCCAGUCUGGGUUUAAACGGCAGGAUGCACCUGCCUGUGGUCCUAUGGGAGCUCUGGGGCCUGAGAGCUACAUUCCUUUUUCUGGUCCUCUCUGUGUCACAUAGCUCACCCAAAUACCCGAGGAGGACAGAAGGAGACAGCUGUGCUGGAGAGCUGCCCUUCCUGGGCCGAGUGUAUUUUGGGAAUCAGUGUUAUUACUGGGGUGGAGGGUGGUGAAUUAAGCAAGGAAAUGUGUCAAGGCUAGAGAGCUGAGGCGAGUGUGAGGUGUGGUGUUCUGUGUGCAGUGUGCUAUGGGACAAUACCUUCUCAGGGCAUCGGGGUGGCUUUUAUAUGGGUUAAUUUGCCUUUGAAAUACAUACCAGUGUUUUAUGGAUAAUGACUGAAUGCUUUAUAAACUGGUCCUCUUAAGAAACAAGACUGAAACAGCUCUUACACACCGACCCAGCUGCUAUUGUAGGUAAUUGUUAAGAUCAGGGAGAGGGGCAUGAUUUGGACCAAGUUAGACCUAGAGCUGAGUGGUAUGUUAUGGUUUUAUAGGACUGCAUUUCCUUGAUCUGGAGACUAACCUGUAAUUUACCCACAGCUUUUACGUAAAGAGGUGUGUGUGUGUGUGUGUGUGUGUGUGUGUGUGAGUGUGUGUGUGUGUGUAUUCUGAGCUACAUCCUAGUUUGAGAAGCAAGAAGUAGCAACCCUGCAAGGGGAGAUCUUUGUGUGUCUUUGAGUUAGAGUGUUGUUCUUGUUUCUGUGGAGAUGCCAGGGCUGCUCCACCUAACAGCCCAUGCAUUGUCAAGGUGGGGACCUCUGACACCUUCCUCCAAUCUAAUGCUCUCUGUGGGCUGAGGUGACUAACUAGCCUUAGACAUGCUACUUACUGAACAAAACAGUUCCCACAUGGGAGUCCACUCAGAGCUAGAAUAGGGAACUCUCCAGAAAUUUAGCAAGCAGCUGGAAGCAAGCAUCUUUUGAAUUAUCUCUGAAUGUAGGCAAGCAGCAUGUUCAGAAGCAUAUAGAAGAUCUACAUUUUUGGGCCAAAAUGCAUGUGCUCUACUUAUGUAUAGAAAUGUUUGUCAGGAUCGUAGACACACGCUGGAACUGGAAAGGACAGAUGUCCUAAUGUCCUCAUUUCAGGUUUUGACACGAGACUCUUAAGAGUUAUGUGAUUUGCCCCAAAGUGACUGAACUAAUUUAAAGAGUAUCUGAGAGCACUGUCAACUGUGUACACCGUGCAGGUGACUGUUGGUGGUUAUUAGGGUCUGAGUCAGGAUUAGAACUCACAUUUCCAGACUAGCACUAUUCUAUACGGCCACGAUGCUGCGUUUGUCACAUUUAAUAAUCCAAAGGGCUGUAAUAAAAAUAAUUUAGUAGUCUGUAAUUAGCCCUGUAGACAAAGGCUGCUUUUAUUGUCUGAGAUGUUGCAAGGCCAGGCAAAAUGUAAUGUCAAAGGGUCUAAUUAAAUAUUUAUUCUUGCCACCUUACAAAUAACAAUUUUCCCUCACAAGUUCCAUUCCUGCUCUGGGACUCUUCUUUUGAAAACUGUGCAUCUACUGACUGAAAGCAAAUGCAAAGUUGGGUGUUGACAUCUUCACGGCUUAUCUCCAAGGCUGCUGUGUUCUGGAAAGCAAAGCAGAGAGCACAGUUCUGGGGCUGAGUGGAAGCAAACCUGAGGGGUUCCCUCCCAGUGCUCAGACGGACCCUUGUAUAGGUCCUGGGAGCCACAGGAAUGUCUCACCCCCUGGACUAAAGGAUUUCUCAUCCUUUAGAAACUAAGUUGAUGGGACUGGAGAGAUGGCUCAGUAGUUAAGAGCACUGACUGCUCUUCCAAAGGUCCUGAGUUCAAUUCCCAGCAACCACAUGGUGGCUCACAACCAUCUGUAAUGGGGUCUGAUGCCCUCCUCUGGUGUGUCUGAAGACAGCAACAGUGUACUCAUAUACAUAAAAUAAAUUAAAAAUAAAUAAAAAUACAUGAAAAAAAGAUU